CUUUGCAAGAUUCGACAAACAACUGCACAUUUGAUGUGAGUGCUGUUGAAAGUGAGAGAGCACGACCGGUCUCUCAGCCUGAGAUAGUUCUCGUCGAUGCCAGGCAUGGAAGCUUUCUCGAGGGCCACCGUCAUCUUGUUGGGGUUCUUCUUUAGCCAAGUGAAUAAAUACCUAGCCAGGAGAGCCUGCGCUUGGGCAUGAAGCUGAAAUUUCUGACCCACAGUGGCAUAAAGAACAUCACCAUGAGAAGGAGUCGUAGAGAAGAAUAUGGGCAGCGUUUGACCAGCUUCGCAGUUUGGUAUGGGAGGAAGGACUGUAACACAGACACGAGGGGUUAUUAAGACUGGGAUUUCUAAAAAGAAGCGAAUUACAACAUAACAAAAAAUUAAAAGAUAUUUGCAAUAUUGUCUGUUCCGAGAAUAUAAUUGCAACAGUGAGAAAACCUACAAAAAUACUGUCAAAAUUUUAAAAAAUAAAUAA